CAGGAAUGAGCAAGGCACACGGUGGCCAGAGUGUCUAAUGUUUCCCAGAGUCCAGGAAAGCUUCAGAGGGGAAGAGGCUUGAACUGAAUCCUGAGAGAUGAGCAGAUGGCCUCCAGCACACACGUCUAUGUCUGUUGAGUUCUAAUCAUCCUUCGGGCUUCGCUGGUGGCUCAGAUGGUAAAGAAUCUGCCUGCAAUGUGGGAAACCUGGGUUCGAUCCCUGGGUUGGGAAGAUGCCCUGGAGGAAGAUAACUUCUUGAGUUACUUGGCGCUCAAAGUUCUCCCUCCUGUGGGAGAGAAACAAGCGGAGAGAAGUUAGCAUCUGCAGCCACGAGAGGGCAGACCUCAGCCUGAGGAGGUCCUUUCCCAGGCUGCAGUACCAGUCACUUCACUGCAUCUCCCCUGCGUGUCCCCAGAAGGCGCUGCUGCUCUUAAGCUGCUUAACACCUGGUCAUUUCUGUAACCAGUCCCACAGCUCCCUGCAGUUAGUUCCUCCUUUGAGCUGCAGCAAAAGUCUACAUUAUUUUAGAGACAAAGUUGGGAGGGGCACCUUAUCUUCUUCAAGACACUGCCCUGCAUCAGAAGCCCAGGAGAAGUUUUUUUUUUUUUUUUUCCUUUGGAAUAAAAUUCUGUAACUUGAGAUCAUCACUGGCAUAAAA